GAGGGUAUAGCUCAGUGGUAGAAUGCAUGCUUAGCAUGCACAAGGUCCUGAGUUCAAACCCCAGUACCUCCA
rnacentral:tRNA from 1 species